rnacentral:rRNA from 1 species
GAUGAACGCUAGCGGCAGGCUUAAUACAUGCAAGUCAUGGGGCAGCAUGUCCCGCAGCAAUGCGGGAUGAUGGCGACCGGCAAACGGGUGCGGAACACGUACACAACCUUCCUUUAAGUGGGGAAUAGGCCAGGGAAACUUGGGUUAAUACCCCGUAAUAUAUAGAAGCGGCAUCGUUUUUAUAUUAUAGCAGCAAUGCGCUUGAAGAUGGGUGUGCGGCNGAUUAGAUAGUUGGCGGGGUAAUGGCCCACCAAGUCGACGAUCAGUAACUGGUGUGAGAGCACGACCAGUCAC